AGUGGCGCACGGGUGCGUAACACGUAUGCAAUCUGCCCCUAGCAGGGGAAUAGCCCGGCGAAAGUCGGAUUAAUACCCCAUAACAAUGUGAAUCGGCAUCGGUUUAUAUUUAAAGCUCCGGCGGUUAGGGAUGAGCAUGCGCGACAUUAGCUAGAUGGCGGGGUAACGGCCCACCAUGGCUACGAUGUCUAGGGGGUCUGAGAGGAUUUUCCCCCACACUGGUACUGAGACACGGACCAGACUCCUACGGGAGGCAGCAGUAGGGAAUAUUGGGCAAUGGACGCAAGUCUGACCCAGCCAUGCCGCGUGAAGGACGAAGGCCCUAUGGGUUGUAAACUUCUUUUGUACGGGAAGAAACCCCUCUACGUGUAGGGGGCUGACGGUACCGUAAGAAUAAGGAUCGGCUAACUCCGUGCCAGCAGCCGCGGUAAUACGGAGGGUCCAAGCGUUGUCCGGAUUUAUUGGGUUUAAAGGGUGCGUAGGCGGAUUACUAAGUCAGAGGUGAAAGUUUGCAGCUUAACUGUAAAAUUGCCUUUGAAACUGGUAGUCUUGAGUAUAGUUGAGGUGGGCGGAAUGUGUCAUGUAGCGGUGAAAUGCUUAGAUAUGAUACAGAACACCGAUUGCGAAGGCAGCUCACUAAACUGUAACUGACGCUGAGGCACGAAAGCGUGGGGGGCAAACAGGAUUAGAUACCCUGGUAGUCCACGCCCUAAACGUUGAAUACUCGUUGUUGGCG
rnacentral:rRNA from 1 species